GAUGAACGCUGGCGGCGUGCCUAAUACAUGCAAGUCGAGCGAACAGAUGAGGAGCUUGCUCCUCUGACGUUAGCGGCGGACGGGUGAGUAACACGUGGAUAACCUACCUAUAAGACUGGGAUAACUUCGGGAAACCGGAGCUAAUACCGGAUAAUAUAUUGAACCGCGUGGUUCAAUAGUGAAAGACGGUUUUGCUGUCACUUAUAGAUGGAUCCGCGCCGCAUUAGCUAGUUGGUAAGGUAACGGCUUGCCAAGGCAACGAUGCGUAGCCGACCUGAGAGGGUGAUCGGCCACACUGGAACUGAGACACGGUCCAGACUCCUACGGGAGGCAGCAGUAGGGAAUCUUCCGCAAUGGGCGAAAGCCUGACGGAGCAACGCCGCGUGAGUGAUGAAGGUCUUCGGAUCGUAAAACUCUGUUAUUAGGGAAGAACAAAUGUGUAAGUAACUAUGCACGUCUUGACGGUACCUAAUCAGAAAGCCACGGCUAACUACGUG
rnacentral:rRNA from 1 species